ensembl:piRNA 21ur-7027 ncRNA
UAAGAAACUUUUUCGAGAGUU